CGCGUAGGCGGUCUCUUAAGUCAGGUGUGAAAGCCCGGGGCUCAACCUCGGAAGUGCACUUGAAACUAAAAGACUUGAGUAUGGGAGAGGGAAGUGGAAUUCCUGGUGUAGCGGUGAAAUGCGUAGAUAUCAGGAGGAACACCGGUGGCGAAGGCGACUUCCUGGACCAAUACUGACGCUGAGGCGCGAAGGCGUGGGUAGCAAACA
rnacentral:rRNA from 1 species